CCAUGUCCCCUUGUUUUGUGUUUCCGAUGGCGCGCACCACCCACGGUUUCUCUCUUCCGGGCUUCCGGCCUUGGGUUCAGGACAAAACAACCGGACCCAUCGUUUUCUAUACCAAACCUCGCCUAUACAUAGCAGAGAGCGCAAUUUUUCUCUUCCAGAUUUCCAUUCCUCUGCAGUUAAAAAGGUUCCCAUUCCAUGGCUCCCUCGGCGGCGAUGCUCUUCCUAAGCUACCACCAGUGGAAACCCAAGCCCUCCCCUCAACCUCUUCCCAGUGUUGCUCCUCCUGCCGCCGCUGAUACAUCGUUUCUGGUGAAGUUCUCCAGAAGCCCGGUCUCGCGUCCCUCCUCGCUGCCGGCUGAGCCCGCUGCUCAGGCAGAAGCGAAAGCGUCCGACGCCAGCACCAAACGACAUCCGACCACGGAGGACAAGUUCCAGGAGGCACUUGAGCUCGGCUGUUGGUCCUUGUGAGGGACAAUACUCAGCCGUACAGCCAUCUUCGUGCAAAAUGUAAAGUUCUUGCUAGAUCUAUAUGUAUCAUAUGUUACUCCACAAGGCGUUCCGUGCCCUCUCAAAUUAUGUGCAUCAACGCUCUCCAAAGAUGUCGAUUAAAGGUGGAUUUUGAAGCUGUAGGCCUUUGUGCUCUCAGAAUCCUCCAAUUCUCUUCUCUCUGGCUUUGAUCUGCCAGAUGGUAUCCCAACUUCAUACCAUUUUUUUUUUUUCAAAAUGAAAUAGAAAAUUCUGGCGAAAUCAAUCCACGAGCAGAUGAGGGGUUUUGACAGGUCACAUUGUUUGUCUCUUUCCUUGUUCUUCUCGAAAUAUUCAAGUUUUUGGAGUCUCCGUGGAGCGAUUACAGGAGUGGAAGAAUCAUAUUGGAUCGAUCUGUGCCAGAACUGAAUUAUCGGCGUUGCGUUCUUAGAUCUCAGAAAUAAUAAAAGAUAAUAUAUUGCCGGAACUGAAUUAUCUUUACUGGAUUCCUAGUUCUCAGAAAUAAUAAAAGAUAACAUAUUGCCAGAUCCGAAUCCGAAUCGUGCCACUGCAUCCCGCCUCGCAAAAUCUGAGACCUCUUCCCCCUAUAAAUGUUUCUCUUAUUCCCAGAGAGAGUCGCAUCGAUGAAGGCACUGCCCAAUUCCACUUUCUUCCUUCUGUCGAUCUUUGCCUCUCACUCGUAUAUCGCAGUUGAGGGCUGCUUGCAUGGAGAGCUGGAUGAGGUGUACGCCGCUAUUCGGCAUGUCGAGAAGAUCGAGGACAUAAAAAUCGACCUCCUAAUCCGCUGUGGCGACUUCCAGGCAGUCAGGAAUGAAAAUGAUCUUGAGAGCUUGAGUUGCAACCACCAAAAUAUCGGAGUAUGAACUCAUUCUGGAAGUAUUACUCUGGACAAGAAGUAGCGCCUGUUCUGACUAUAUAUAUAUUGGUGGGAACCAUGAAGCAUCAAAUUAUUUAUGGGAACUGUGAGUUUCUUAUCUUGAGAGCUUGAGUUGCGACCACCAAAAUAUCGGAGUAUGAACUCAUUCUGGAAGUAUUACUCUGGACAAGAAGUAGCACCUGUUCUGACUAUAUAUAUAUUGGUGGGAACCAUGACGCAUCAAAUUAUUUAUGGGAACUGUAUUAUGGAGGCUGGGCUGCACCUAAUAUCUAUUUCUUGGUCUUUUCUGGAGUUAUUAAAUUUGUCAACAUUCGAAUUGGUGGGAUUUCUGGGAUUUAUAAACAAGGCCAUUAUCUUCUAGAUCAAGAAGAGGACUCUAGGCAGGCAAAACCAACAUAAGCCACACUAAUGGUUUUCAGGUCAUAUUCACUGUAAUUUUACAGCUGCUAUUCAGCGCAAGAAGGAUGAGUCUAUCACAAGGUUUGUUGCUCUUGACAAAUGUGUUCCAGGUCGGAAAUUUUUGCUGGUUGAGAUUCCAUGUUUGUUGUUACUCUAAUAAUGCAUAUUAUAUGAAAUCCAAUUGAAAAGCGUAACUCAGUUAAAUUUUUAGAUUGUUGAUAUCAACUCAGAUCCAGGCCCAUAUGAAAUUCGGCAUGAUGCGGACUGGCUGGUAAUAACAAGGAAGUUCAAUAGUAUCUUUCCGUUGAGCUGAAGAACUAUUCAUUUGAGAUCUGAACAGCUCGACAAGCAAGGUUAUCGUGCGUGGGUGAGGAAUAAGUUAAAUACUAGAGGAGCCAGGCUUUUUGAUUUUGUGCAGACUGUUUCACCCUUUGAUCCUUCUCAGCCACUCACAGAAACUUCAACUUCAGUGGUCUAAGGGAGAGGUCGAGGACUAUGCAGGAGGCAUGUGUUUCGUUGUGGAAGACAUUUUUCAAUAUCUAAAUUGACCUUUUUGACUUUACUACCCUGGUUAAGUAAUUUGCCACCUCUUUCUCCUUUGCCUCACGGAGCCAAUUCCAUUCCAUUUAUCCAUUAUACGGGCAUGCAAACAAGACUCGAGACACUAGUCUCAGGGCAAUAGAACAAAUAGAAUAAUUGAUUUGUGCAAGAGAACAAUCCAUUUAUGGGGAGCCUCAUUCAUCUUUAAGAGCAAUACAACAAUCCAAUAAUUUCUUUUCUAUGAUUUGAUGUAAUGGACUUUUAGCUUUUAGUCGUCAUAAGGUUACAUGUAUCAAUGCUUCUUUUUCCUAGUGUUUAUGGUCCAUGAAUGUGGUACCGGUGUAUCAUCUUCACAGUUUAAUGCUUAACCUGUUCCAAAAGCUACAUGACAUUGACGGAACCCUUAACGUUGCUGGACCUCCCAUAUCUUCUUAUACUAUUGCAUAGGCUAGCAUGUCAACACAAAAUAUCAAAUUUUUUAGAGUUAAGGUUCAUUUUAUUGAUUUAGUUAUGGAUCACCUAAGUUUUAUGGUUUACUUAUAUCUAAAAUAAUCUUUAUAUUUUAAAAAACAUAGCAUAUAAGUUUUUUUCGUCGAGUCUAAGUUAAUAAAUGUUAGAGUUUACUUACAUGACAUGACUUGUAAUAGACUAUUAAUAUAAUGACAUAAAAAAAUUCAUUUUAGCCCAUGUGGUUUUGAUGAUGGGCCACUUAAGUUUUUAUGAUUUUAUUCGGGUUUAAAAUAAUCCUUAUAUUUUCAAAAGUAUAGCAUAUAAGCUCCUCUUAUUAAGUCUGAGUGAAUAGAUGUUAGAAGGUGUCGUCGUAGAAGCGACCAACAAUAGCAGCCUCUUUCGUGCCAACGACAAGCUAUAGAGUUUCUAAUCCUAUCUCAGGUGGAUAUGCAUCGAUUAGUCUGAAGGUUUGACGCUAGGCAUGUAAUGGUCUCCUGGAGUCUUUUCGGUGUAUCUUCGUUUCCAUCGUCUUCCACUUCGUCCUUUUCUGUGCCCUUACUUGUCGCAUAUAUUUUUUAAUACUAGAGGUAUUUGUUAUUUGUUUUGUUCUUUUGACCUCUUCUCCUGUGUUGUAUGCACAAAAUAUAAGGAUGCCUGUGUACGACCAUCGAAUUUUAAUAUUGACAAAAUAGGUGAAAACGGUAAACUUGGAUAUAAUUGCCAGCAAAGAAGUUUAAAAGUGUCAUGAAAGAUAUCACGACACGAUGGAAAUUAAUAAGAGUCAUAAUCGAUUGUUGGACUAAGACUGCUGAGUUGUUAUUUUGUUAUUAAUCAUUUGAUAUGAAGUCUCCAUUUUGUCCUAUGACAGACACUUGUGUCGGCAGAUAAACAGAAUCAUCUGUAUUUUAUCUUUUUGUCCACCACUUACUCCGAGCUUUUGCUCAUGCAUCUUUGGAAUUACACAUAUAUAUGUAUGUAUGUGUAUAUAUGUAUGUAUGUGUAUAUAUAGAGCUCGUGAACACGAUCCCUCUUCCCGCCGUUCUGCUGUUUUGCGGAUCUUGCUGCCAAUGUCGUUGUGCCCCGAUGUUCCUUUUGUUGUCGGAUCGCACUAGAAUUAAUCAGAUUGUCUUUUUUCUUUUGUUCCUACUGCCUGUCAUGU